rnacentral:lncRNA from 1 species
GUUGAGAUGAGUCUUCCCAUAUCAGUUAGCUUCAGAUUGUUCCUCAUUUAUGUCCAAGGCCUAUCUCCAUGUGAUUCUAGAGUCUAUCAAGUUGACGAUGAAUAGUGUUACAUUAGUACGAGCUAGAAUUAAAGUGGACAGGGAUUUUCAUUAACUCCUAGAAUAUUUAUGGUCUGGGGUUGAUGGUUACUGUUCUGAUUUUAAAGAUCGGGUCUCUCUCUGUAACCCAGGCUGUCCUUGUGGAGACACACCUACCUCCAGCCCCUGAGUGGUGAGAUGACAGGUGUGAACCCCGUACCCAGCCAUUCCUGUGAUUUUGAAAACUUCCCAUUGUUGCAGGGGAAAAAAAGAUUGUUGCAGAAGCACUUGUUAGUGUUCUUCUCCACAGCCUUAUUAUCUAAGCCUAAGUGAGCAGAACUGAAGCGCUGCUGACUCCUCUGCCUUGACCAUUGAGCUUACUUCUGUAAGAACUCACUUAGAAAAGCACUCGAGUCUCUAAUCAGACACAGCUAACAUUAUAUGUAUGCUUUGGACAUUGUGCAGGCAUGCUUCCAGAAGAGCGGUGCCUCCGUGGUUGCUAUCCGGAAGUACAUCAUUCAUAAGUACCCUUCUCUGGAUCUGGAGAGAAGGGGCUAUCUCCUCAAGCAAGCACUGAAAAGAGAGUUAAACAGAGGAGUCAUCAAACAGGUAGGAGACACCACGGUAGAAAAUGAGAGUACGUCAUGUCUGCUGUGUGAAGUGCAUUUCUAACAAGAGUUAAGUGCACCCUGCUGUUGUUAAAGGU